CUAGCCGUAAACGAUGGAUACUAGGCGUUGUGAGUAUCGACCCUCACAGUGUCGUAGCUAACGCGUUAAGUAUCCCGCCUGGGGAGUACGCGCGCAAGCGUGAAACUCAAAGGAAUUGACGGGGGCCCGCACAAGCGGUAGAGUAUGUGGUUUAAUUCGAUGCAACGCGAAGAACCUUACCAGGACUUGACAUGUCGCGAAUCUCAGGGAAACUUGAGAGUGCCUUCGGGAGCGCGAACACAGGUGGUGC
rnacentral:rRNA from 1 species